GACGAACGCUGGCGGCGUGCUUAACACAUGCAAGUCGAACGGAAAGGCCCUGCUUUUGUGGGGUGCUCGAGUGGCGAACGGGUGAGUAACACGUGAGUAACCUGCCCUUGACUUUGGGAUAACUUCAGGAAACUGGGGCUAAUACCGGAUAGGAGCUCCUGCUGCAUGGGGGGGGUUGGAAAGUUUCGGCGGUUGGGGAUGGACUCGCGGCUUAUCAGCUGGUUGGUGGGGUAGUGGCUUACCAAGGCUUUGACGGGUAGCCGGCCUGAGAGGGUGACCGGCCACAUUGGGACUGAGAUACGGCCCAGACUCCUACGGGAGGCAGCAGUGGGGAAUAUUGCACAAUGGGCGGAAGCCUGAUGCAGCAACGCCGCGUGCGGGAUGACGGCCUUCGGGUUGUAAACCGCUUUCGCCUGUGACGAAGCGUGAGUGACGGUAAUGGGUAAAGAAGCACCGGCUAACUACGUG
rnacentral:rRNA from 1 species